rnacentral:misc_RNA from 1 species
AAAUGAUCGAAAACUCUCUAAUUUAAGUUUCCCGCCCUGGGUAGAUUGCUUUCGUAUUAUAUUUCUCAUGUUAUUCUAUGACAGUUUCAUUUGGAUUACAGACACGAAUUUGACGUAAUCAAAUAGUUCUGCUUGAAAGAAGAAAGGAAAUAUACGGAAGAGCAUUUGUUAAUAUGGAUAAGAUAAGGGUAUUUAUGCAUUUUAAUGCGAUGGCUGCCUUAUCAGUUUAAUUUGGCGUUAAAUAAAAUACGAAGAGAACUUGUAGACAAUCUCAAGUUCUCAUCAGUCUUCAUUCGCAAAGAGUGGAAAUCACUUAUAUAUACAUUAUUUCUUAUAUCUAAAGUUAACUACCACUUGCAAUAUGUCGGAACAACUACCAAAUAAUUCUGAAAUGUCUACUCCAACAACUCCUGUAACUCCCGCAACUCCUCGAAUUGGACAACUUAAGAACACUCCACCAGCAAAAGCCGUUAGGAGAACGCCUCCUCCAGGUUCAUCUCUCAAUUCUCUUGCUGCUCCUAAACCACCAAGAGACGUACAAGGGAUGAGUAAAUAUUCUCAAUUAUUGGAAGUUAUCGAGGAUAUCGGAAAUGAUAUUAGACCCACUUACGCUGGAAAUAAAUCCAGUUCGGAAAGACUAAAGAAAGGAAUUGCUCAAGCCAAGCUGCUAGUACGAGAAUGUUUGAUUGAAUGCGGUAAAAACGCUAGAUCUUAAAGAUAUAGAAUUUUAGAUAUAGUAUAGAAUAGGGUUACUUUUUCUGUCAUCUAUAAGUUCUUAUAAAAACAAAUUAACCUCUUUUGAAAAAGUUCAUGUUUUGUUCUCCUAAUUAAGUAUUGUAAAGACUUCCUUUUUUUUAAAGUUUCAAUAAAGCGUAUUAAAUAAAACUAUGAAGAAAAUAAAAUGACUUCACCCUUUUUUUUUAAAAAAA